rnacentral:misc_RNA from 1 species
UGUGCACGUGCAUGACAACACCGG